rnacentral:rRNA from 1 species
UACAGAGGUCCCAAGCGUUGUUCGGAUUCAUUGGGCGUAAAGGGUGCGUAGGCGGCGCGGUAAGUCGGGUGUGAAAUCUCGGAGCUUAACUCCGAAACUGCAUUCGAUACUGCCGUGCUUGAGGACUGGAGAGGAGACUGGAAUUCCCGGUGUAGCGGUGAAAUGCGCAGAUAUCUGGAGGAACACCGGUGGCGAAGGCGGCAUCCUGGACCGGCAUUGACGCUGAGGCGCGGAAAGCCAGGGGGAGCAAAACGGGG